rnacentral:rRNA from 1 species
UACGUAGGGUGCAAGCGUUAAUCGGAAUUACUGGGCGUAAAGCGUGCGCAGGCGGUUUUGUAAGUCUUUCGUGAAAUCCCCGGGCUCAACCUGGGAAUUGCGAUGGAGACUGCAAGGCUAGAAUCUGGCAGAGGGGGGUAGAAUUCCACGUGUAGCAGUGAAAUGCGUAGAGAUGUGGAGGAACACCGAUGGCGAAGGCAGCCCCCUGGGUCAAGAUUGACGCUCAUGCACGAAAGCGUGGGGAGCAAACAGG